AAAGCCAGCCGCUGGUUAGCUUAGCAUGAAGGCUGGAGACAAGAGGGCUUAAAAGGGAUGUUUAAAAAUCCGGAUUCAACAGUUUACAAAUUUCCGACUUGAUGAAACAAUGGACAAAAAUCGUUCUUUAUUUAUUCUUAAAGUGUUUGCUAUCAAGAUCAAGAUGGGGUCAUAGAAAAAAACAAGUAGAGCAAAGUGUUUUAUGCACCAUGUCAAGUGGAUGAGCUCUAUCAAUACAAAUACACCGUCCACACACACACAUUUACUCUAAAGGCUCAUUUGCAUAUUGUACCGUCACUGUAACCAUAGAGACGUUACAUCAUGAUGGAACAUUUCUCCAUGUUCCAUGUUCCAUGUUCCAUGUUCUAUGCUCCGUUCACCACAGCAUAAGAACACAGUUUGUUGCACAUCCAGUCAGUCAGUCAGUUUCAAACCUCGCAUCUACACACUGAAGUUUUCCGGACCUACACUUGCAGAAAGCAACCAUGUAAUGCCUCAGGAGUCUGUAGAGGGGACGAAGACGCAUUCUGCUGCACUUAACAGAGCUCAAGACCAACGGGACGCCAUCAGGACGGCAUCAGGACGCCACGUCAUCGGGACGGCAUCAGGACACCACGUCAUCGGGACGCCAUCAGGACGCCGCAUCAACCCCUCAGGAGCAAAUCCAGAUCUACUCAUGAAACCCACACACACCCACACACACGUACACACACACACACACACACAGAGAUGUGCACACAGACACACUAACAUUUAGAUGUACACACAGACACACUAUCAUUUGGAUGUACACACAGACACACUAAGAAUUAGAUGUACACACAGACACACU
ensembl:lncRNA